rnacentral:rRNA from 1 species
UUGAUCCUGGCUCAGGAUGAACGCUGGCGGUAUGCUUAACACAUGCAAGUCGAACGGUCACUUCGGUGAUAGUGGCGGACGGGUGAGUAACGCGUGAGAAUCUGUCUUCAGGUCGGGGACAACAGUUAGAAAUGACUGCUAAUACCGGAUGUGCCUUUGGGUGAAAGAUUUAUUGCCUGAAAAAGAGCUCGCGUCAGAUUAGCUAGUAGGUGGUGUAAAGGACUACCUAGGCGACGAUCUGUAGCUGGUCUGAGAGGACGAUCAGCCACACWGGAACUGAGACACGGUCCAGACUCCUACGGGAGGCAGCAGUGGGGAAUUUUCCGCAAUGGGCGAAAGCCUGACGGAGCAAUACCGCGUGAGGGACGAAGGCUCUUGGGUCGUAAACCUCUUUUCUCAAGGAAGAUAAUGACGGUACUUGAGGAAUAAGCAUCGGCUAACUCUGUGCCAGCAGCCGCGGUAAUACAGAGGAUGCAAGCGUUAUCCGGAAUGAUUGGGCGUAAAGCGUCCGCAGGUGGUUUUAUAAGUCUGCUGUUAAAGCGUCAUGCUCAACAUGAUUCAGGCAGUGGAAACUAUUCAACUAGAGUAUGUUAGGGGUAGAGGGAAUUCCCAGUGUAGCGGUGAAAUGCGUAGAGAUUGGGAAGAACACCGGUGGCGAAAGCGCUCUGCUAGGACAAUACUGACACUGAGGGACGAAAGCUAGGGGAGCGAAUGGGAUUAGAUACCCCAGUAGUCCUAGCCGUAAACGAUGGAUACUAGGCGUUGCCCGUGUCGACCCGGGCAUUGUCGUAGCUAACGCGUUAAGUAUCCCGCCUGGGGAGUACGCACGCAAGUGUGAAACUCAAAGGAAUUGACGGGGGCCCGCACAAGCGGUGGAGUAUGUGGUUUAAUUCGAUGCAACGCGAAGAACCUUACCAGGACUUGACAUGUCGCGAAUCUUGCUGAAAGGUGAGAGUGCCUUCGGGAGCGCGAACACAGGUGGUGCAUGGCUGUCGUCAGCUCGUGUCGUGAGAUGUUGGGUUAAGUCCCGCAACGAGCGCAACCCUCGUUUUUAGUUGCCAGCAUUAAGUUGGGCACUCUAGAGAGACUGCCGGUGACAAACCGGAGGAAGGUGGGGAUGACGUCAAGUCAGCAUGCCCCUUACGUCCUGGGCUACACACGUACUACAAUGCUACGAACAAAGGGCAGCUAGUUAGCAAUAACGUGCAAAUCUCAGAAAUCGUAGCUCAGUUCAGAUUGAAGGCUGCAACUCGCCUUCAUGAAGUCGGAAUCGCUAGUAAUUGCAGGUCAGCAUACUGCAGUGAAUUCGUUCCCGGGCCUUGUACACACCGCCCGUCACACCAUGGAAACUGGUCACGCCCGAAGUAGUUAUCCUAACCGUUCGCGGGGGGAGAUUCCGAAGGUAGGGCUGGUGACUGGGGUGAAGUCGUAACAAGGUAGCCGUACCGGAAGGUGUGGCUGGAUCACCUCCUUU